UAAACAUGCAGUCGAGCGGACAAAGAAGAGCUUGCUCUUCGGCGGUUAGCGGCGGACGGGUGAAUAACACGUAGGCAACCUGCCUGUACGACUGGGAUAACUCCGGGAAACCGGAGCUAAUACCGGAUACGUUUUUCAGACCGCAUGGUCUGAAAGAGAAAGACCUUUGGUCACGUACAGAUGGGCCUGCGGCGCAUUAGCUAGUUGGUGGGGUAACGGCCUACCAAGGCGACGAUGCGUAGCCGACCAGAGAGGGUGAUCGGCCACACUGGGACUGAGACACGGCCCAGACUCCUACGGGAGGCAGCAGUAGGGAAUCUUCCGCAAUGGACGAAAGUCUGACGGAGCAACGCCGCGUGAACGAUGAAGGUUUUCGGAUCGUAAAGUUCUGUUGUUAGGGAAGAACCGCCGGGAUGACCUCCCGGUCUGACGGUACCUAACGAGAAAGCCCCGGCUAACUACGUGCCAGCAGCCGCGGUAAUACGUAGGGGGCAAGCGUUGUCCGGAAUUAUUGGGCGUAAAGCGCGCGCAGGCGGCUUCUUAAGUCAGGUGUGAAAGCCCACGGCUCAACCGUGGAGGGCCACUUGAAACUGGAAGGCUUGAGUGCAGGAGAGGAGAGCGGAAUUCCAC
rnacentral:rRNA from 1 species